GACGAACGCUGGCGGCAUGCCUAAUACAUGCAAGUCGAGCGAACAGAUGAAGUGCUUGCACUUCUGACGUUAGCGGCGAACGGGUGAGUAACACGUAAGGAAUCUACCUAUAAGCGGGGGAUAACAUUCGGAAACGGGUGCUAAUACCGCAUAAUAUCUUCUUCCGCAUGGAAGAAGAUUGAAAGACGGCUCUGCUGUCACUUAUAGAUGACCUUGCGGUGCAUUAGUUAGUUGGUUGGGUAAUGGCCUACCAAGACGAUGAUGCAUAGCCGACCUGAGAGGGUGAUCGGCCACGUUGGGACUGAGACACGGCCCAAACUCCUACGGGAGGCAGCAGUAGGGAAUCUUCCGCAAUGGGCGAAAGCCUGACGGAGCAAUGCCGCGUGAGUGAAGAAGGCCUUCGGGUCGUAAAACUCUGUUAUAAGAGAAGAACAAAUUGUAGAGUAACUGCUACAGUCUUGACGGUAUCUUAUCAGAAAGCCACGGCUAACUACGUGCCAGCCGCCGCAGUAA
rnacentral:rRNA from 1 species